rnacentral:sRNA from 1 species
GUUUGUUUAUUAAAAAUUAGCCUUUUUUUCUUUAUUCAUUUUUAAAGAUGUUUGGCAUAAAUAGUGACAUCUCUUUAGUUGUGUUUAAGUAUAGUGUAUCUUAUUUGUAUAUGUUGCUACACUAAAAUGAUAUACUGUCAGUUAUAGGUGAAUCAAGUGGCAUUUUAAUAAUUGAUAAUUUUUAAAAGGUAAGUAAGGUAAGUUUUAGACAUAAGACACAAAGUGAACAGACACAGUGUUUAAUAUACACGGAGACAGUGUUCUUUAUUUUGGUAUGGAGCUGGGAAAUGAUGUAAACUUUCAAAGAAACUAUAACGUCUCUUACCAUGUUAAGUUUUAAUUUUACUUUCAGUUGAAAAUCGAGUUCGUCCGUUAGUGCUGGUGAUUAAGAAGUGGGCAAGUCACCAUCAGAUAAAUGAUGCCAGUCGUGGUACUUUAAGCAGCUAUAGUCUUGUAUUGAUGGUUUUGCACUAUUUACAAAGAGUCUUUUAGUCCUGCUAUACAGCUGCACCUUGUACAUCAAGCUCCAAGUAAUGUUCCUCCUUACCUCUCAAAGAAUGAAUCAAACCUUGGGGACCUCUUACUGGGCUUUCUU